rnacentral:tRNA from 1 species
UGCUUGGUUGCCGGACAGGGCCGAGUUGGCGUCGAUGCCGGAAACGUCGAUCCUGUCGCCCUUGGCGAAAUCCAUGAUCGUGUCACGGCCCAUCGAC